UUUUACAGACACCUAAAGCUACAUCGUCAACGUUAUAUUUUGAUAGUUUGACGGUUAAUGCUGGUAAUGGUGGUUUUCUUCAUUGCAUUCAGAUGGAUACAUCUGUCAACGCCGCUAAUCAGGUUGUUUCUGUUGGUGCUGAUAUUGCUUUUGAUGCCGACCCUAAAUUUUUUGCCUGUUUGGUUCGCUUUGAGUCUUCUUCGGUUCCGACUACCCUCCCGACUGCCUAUGAUGUUUAUCCUUUGGAUGGUCGCCAUGAUGGUGGUUAUUAUACCGUCAAGGACUGUGUGACUAUUGACGUCCUUCCCCGUACGCCGGGCAAUAAUGUUUAUGUUGGUUUCAUGGUUUGGUCUAACUU
rnacentral:rRNA from 1 species